CGUUGCGUAAUCGCUACGCGUUCGCUUAUCAACCACUAACACAACACCUUCAGCCUUCUCCCCUCAGUUCACAGUUCAUUCUUGUGUUUCAAAGCCUUACGCUUCGAAGUUUUUUAAAUUCCUCUCCUGGCGGAACACAUGCGAGGAAUGGAAAAAAGGUCAGACGAUUCUUCGAUGUAUACGGAGACCCCCUGUUGCAGAACCCUAACGCGAUCUGUCUCCAUCACUUUCUCGAAACUAUUCUGAUGCUCUAGAAGAUCGAUGUAAAUCGAAACCCUCGCUUGAUCCUGAAGGGAUUGUGACAGCUCUAGAAGUUUUUGAGAGGGAUUCAACGGCCAUUGCCGAAAGCUUCACUGGUCUCUUCUCUUCUCUUGGUUUGGCUCUAUCGGAGAAACUAUGUCUUUCAGAUUAUAUUUAUUUUUGACAAGUUGGAUCUAUGGUGAUUCGGUGUAAGCUUGUAGGUCACUAGCAGUUCAAUAGAUCACAUGCGUUGCUUCAGUGAUGCUGCAGGCCUCCUACAAGAAUCUGGUUAAACAAGGAAAUGAAGGACUGGCUAUGCAUUUGUAUCCUUCCAUCUCAUUAUGCAUUUAUCCAGUGAUCUGUUUAUCGUUCAAUCUAUUUAUACACCAAAGCAUGCAUUUCAAUAGCUGAUAAUGAAAAAUUGAUUCUUGAAGCAUAGCCUUUUCUCUUCACAUGAGUAAAUUACACAUGGGAUUCCUCACGUUCACAGCUUUCACAAUGAUGAAAUGAUCAAAAUUGAUGCAUACCCAAGGUUCUCUAUACAUUAUAUAUGCAGGAAAAUAAAUCAGUCCAAGGAUCAGAAUUGAUCUGUCCAUCGGUUUGAGUACUCAUCGUCCAAGUUUGGAUCAGUUUUGGGUUCAAACUGAACCCACGGUUCAAUAUAGGGUUUGGUCCAUUAAUCUAUCUAUUAGGGUCUAUUUUUAAGUUGUAUGCUUUAUUUUGCUAGUACUUCUAGAAUGCUGGACAUGUGUCUUACAUUCCGACCCUUUUAUUUUCUAUUUUUGUUGAAGUUCUAGACUAGUUUCUAUUUUGAAGAA